rnacentral:rRNA from 1 species
UGAACGCUGGCGGCGUGGAUUAGGCAUGCAUGUCGAGCGAACUUAAGUAAAGAAGUUUAUUGAGAUCUUCGGAUCGAUAUGAAUGGAUUUACUCUAGUUAGCGGCAAAUAGGUGAGUAAUGCGUGGGUAACAUACCUUAAGGAGGAGAAUAGUUUCGCGAAAGCGGGAGUAAUACUCCAUAGUCUCUAGAAUCUGGAAUGUUUUAGAGUAAAGGUGGCCUCUACUUGUAAGCUAUCGCCAUAAGAGUGACCCACGUCCUAUCAGGUUGUUGGUAGGGUAACGGCCUACCAAGCCUUAGACGGGUAGCUGGCGUAAGAGCGUGGUCAGCCACAUCGGGACUGAGACACUGCCCGGACUCCUACGGGAGGCUGCAGUCGAGAAUCUUUCUCAAUGGGCGAAAGCCUGAAGAUGCGACGCCGCGUGGGGGAUGAAGGUUUUCGGAUUGUAAACCCCUUUUAUUGCGGAGGAACUUCCUUAAUGUGAAUAAUAUUAAGGGGUUGACUGUACGCGAUGAAUAAGCCACGGCUAACUCCGUGCCAGCAGCCGCGGUAAUACGGAGGUGGCAAGCGUUACUCGGUUUGAUUGGGUGUAAAGGGACCGUAGGCGGCCAAAUAAGUGAAAGGUGAAAUCCUUCGGCUUAACCGGAGAAGUGCCUUUCAAACUGCUUGGCUAGAGGCUGGAAGAGGAGAAUGGAAUUGCUAGUGUAAGGGUGAAAUCUGUGGAUAUUAGCAGGAAUGCCUGUGGGGUAGCCGAUUCUCCAGUCCAGGCCUGACGCUCAGGGACGAAAGCUAGGGGAGCGAACAGAAUUAGAUACUCUGGUAGUCCUAGCUGUAAACGAUGGGCACUAGGUGUCUGUCCGUAAGGAUGGGUGUCGAAGCUAACGCGUUAAGUGCCCCACCUGGGGACUACGGCCGCAAGGCUAAAACUCAAAGGAAUUGACGGGGACCCGCACAAGCGGUGGAACACGUGGUUUAAUUCGAUGCUACGCGAGGAACCUUACCAGGGCUUGACAUGCUAGAAGUAAUCGCCUGAAAAGGUGGAUGACCUGUAACCAAUCAGGAACUAGUGCAGGUGCUGCAUGGUUGUCGUCAGCUCGUGCCGUGAGGUGUUCCCUUAAGUGGGAGAACGAGCGCAACCCUCGCCCUUUGUUGCUAUCUUAGGGUUAAACCUAAGAGCACUCUAGGGGGACUGCCCGCGUUAAGUGGGAGGAAGGUGGGGAUGACGUCAAAUCCGCAUGGCCCUUAUGUCCUGGGCUACACACGUGUUACAAUGCCUACUACAGUGGGACGCAAGACCGUAAGGUGGAGCAAAUCUCUUAAAAGUAGGCUCAGUUCGGAUCGAGGGCUGCAAUUCGCCCUCGUGAAGCUGGAAUCGCUAGUAAUGGCGCAUCAGCUACGGUGCCGUGAAUACGUUCCCGGGUCUUGUACACACCGCCCGUCAAGCGCUGAAAGUGGGGGGCACCCGAAGCUUCGAUUUAUCGAAUUCACGGUGAAUUUCAUGAUUGGCGCUAAGUCGUAACAAGGUA